GACGAACCGUGCGACCGUUAUUCGGAAUCACUGGGCUUAAAGCGCGUGUAGGCGGGCGGGCACGUCGGAACCUGAAAGCCCCCGGCUCAACCGGGGAAGCGGGGCCGAAACGACCCGUCUGGAGGGACGUAGGGGGAUCUGGAACUUCCGGUGGAGCGGUGAAAUGCGUUGAGAUCGGAAGGAACGCCCGUGGCGAAAGCGAGAUCCUGGACGUCUACUGACGCUGAGACGCGAAAGCUAGGGGAGCGAACGGG
rnacentral:rRNA from 1 species